AUAAGUCCAUUUUGUUGUCAUUUGAAAUCCUCUCCCAAAUGUAGUCAUUUGAAAUCCAAACCUGACUCCUCUCCCCCUUUCUCUCUCAUCUGCUCCCCUAUCUCUCGCCGCCAUCGAAGAAAUUCUUCCAACCUCAGAUCUUGAUUGGCUCUUUCAUCUCAACCUCCAUCAAUCAUCCCUCUUCUUCACCUUUGAUCUAUCUCUUCUUCACGGCUCCAUUUACCUCUCCUGCCUAGCUUAAAAUAUCUCCCCUCCUCCAUUGCCGCCGCCACCAACAGAUGUGUAACCACCCAUCAUCAACACCGAAAUUCUGAAAUCCGCAGAUUGCAGCCAUGGAAACUUUCAUUCGACCCGAAAAUUUGAAAACCUGAACAUGCAGCCAUAAGAUUUUAUUGAAGGAUAUGAAUUUCUUCAUUAAAGGUGGUCUUGGUCAGGUUACCUUCACGGUGAUAUCAAAUUUGGACUUUUUUUGUUAAUUGAAAUAAGUGUUUGGUGGAUUUAAUUUUAGGGUUUCAUUUUUCAUCUUUUUGGGUGAAUAAUGUCUACAAGACCCACUUUUCAGUGUGUGUUUUUAAGGGGUGAUUCUUUAGUUAGGAAUUUCCAUACAAAAAGACUUAAGACCCAUAUUACUACGGUCAUGAUCUCUCUCUAUAAAGCCUUUGAAAUGCUGCCUCCACAACCCCCAAUCCAUUAAUGAGCUGUGCUAAGGAGAGAGAUUCAGUGGGAAAAAAAAAGACCAGGAGGAGGGAGCAUCUGCCUGGUGGGGACUACAAAAUAGAACUCAUACAUCUUCCAAAGCAACUUGUACUACGGAACAUUAUAUUUAUACCUUUUCUUUUCUUUAGUUGUUCUUUUUAUAUUUCUGUUUGGUUUUGCUCUAAUAAAUUACGUUAUUUUUAAUUUCUUGGUUUAGUUAAAACGGAGUAGUAACUUGUACUACGGAAUAUUAUUUGUUCAUUUCUUUGAGCAGAUUGUUACGCAACAACGAAAAGGUAAGAUUUUUUAAUCAUUUAACAA